AGUGAACGCUGGCGGUAGGCCUAACACAUGCAAGUCGAACGGCAGCACAGUAAGAGCUUGCUCUUACGGGUGGCGAGUGGCGGACGGGUGAGGAAUACAUCGGAAUCUACUUUUUCGUGGGGGAUCACGUAGGGAAACUUACGCUAAUACCGCAUACGACCUACGGGUGAAAGCAGGGGAUCUUCGGACCUUGCGCGAUUGAAUGAGCCGAUGUCGGAUUAGCUAGUUGGCGGGGUAAAGGCCCACCAAGGCGACGAUCCGUAGCUGGUCUGAGAGGAUGAUCAGCCACACUGGAACUGAGACACGGUACAGACUCCUACGGGAGGCAGCAGUGGGGAAUAUUGGACAAUGGGCGCAAGCCUGAUCCAGCCAUACCGCGUGGGUGAAGAAGGCCUUCGGGUUGUAAAGCCCUUUUGUUGGGAAAGAAAAGCAGCAGGUUAAUACCCCGCUGUUCUGACGGUACCCAAAGAAUAAGCACCGGCUAACUUCGUG
rnacentral:rRNA from 1 species